CUGUUAGCUCAGUUGGUAGAGCAACUGACUCUUAAUCAGUGGGUCUAGGGUUCGAAUCCC
rnacentral:tRNA from 1 species